AUUGAACGCUGGCGGCAUGCUUUACACAUGCAAGUCGAACGGUAACAGGCCUUCGGGCGCUGACGAGUGGCGAACGGGUGAGUAAUGCAUCGGAACGUGCCCAGUCGUGGGGGAUAACGCAGCGAAAGCUGUGCUAAUACCGCAUACGAUCUAUGGAUGAAAGCGGGGGACCGUAAGGCCUCGCGCGAUUGGAGCGGCCGAUGUCAGAUUAGGUAGUUGGUGGGGUAAAGGCUCACCAAGCCAACGAUCUGUAGCUGGUCUGAGAGGACGACCAGCCACACGGGAAGUGAGACACGGUCCAGACUCCUACGGGAGGCAGCAGUGGGGAAUUUUGGACAAUGGGCGCAAGCCUGAUCCAGCAAUGCCGCGUGCAGGAAGAAGGCCUUCGGGUUGUAAACUGCUUUUGUACGGAACGAAACGGCGAGCUCUAAUACAGUUUGCUAAUGACGGUACCGUAAGAAUAAGCACCGGCUAACUACGUGCCAGCCGCCGCCGUAACAC
rnacentral:rRNA from 1 species